rnacentral:misc_RNA from 1 species
UUGAUUUUUUGCUGUCUCGACGGCAGAGAGUGCACACUCACGCCUCCCUCGGGGGGCUACUUCCAAAACCCAUCAUAGUUUGUGCAUGUGUAUACUUUUAUAUAACUUAUAAAGUA